rnacentral:rRNA from 1 species
CCUACGGGAGGCAGCAGUGAGGAAUAUUGGUCAAUGGGCGAGAGCCUGAACCAGCCAAGUCGCGUGAGGGAUGACGGCCCUACGGGUUGUAAACCUCUUUUGCCGGGGAGCAACUGGCGCCACGUGUGGCGCCACUGAGAGUACCCGGAGAAAAAGCAUCGGCUAACUCCGUGCCAGCAGCCGCGGUAAUACGGAGGAUGCGAGCGUUAUCCGGAUUUAUUGGGUUUAAAGGGUGCGUAGGCGGGACGUUAAGUCAGCGGUAAAAUUUCGGGGCUCAACCCCGUCCGGCCAUUGAAACUGGUGCUCUUGAGUGGACGAGAAGUAUGCGGAAUGCGUGGUGUAGCGGUGAAAUGCAUAGAUAUCACGCAGAACCCCGAUUGCGAAGGCAGCAUGCCGGCUUCCGACUGACGCUGAAGCACGAAAGCGUGGGGAUCGAACAGGAUUAGAUACCCGAGUAGUC